rnacentral:misc_RNA from 1 species
GGGGAGGACCAUCGAGGAGUGCGAGGCCGACGCCGUGGCCGGGAGAUUCCCGGCUCCCCCGCCGUUGGUCAGACCCAAGGCUCCCGAAGGAACACCUCAGAUCAGGCCUCUUGACUUGACAAAGCGCCCUCGUCGCAACCGCAGGUCGCCUGCUCUUAGGGCCGCAUUCCAGGAGACCACCAUCUCACCUGCCAAUUUGGUGCUCC